rnacentral:lncRNA from 1 species
GAGAAUUGCAGAGCGCGACCACUGGAAUUGGUGAGGCAGAGCCGCGAUGUUCCGGAUCGAGGGCCUCGCGCCGAAGCUGGACCCUGAGGAGAUGAAACGGAAGAUGCGUGAGGAUGUGAUCUCUUCCAUACGGAACUUCCUCAUCUAUGUGGCCCUGCUGCGAGUCAACAUUUAUAUCUACACCACCCCACUGGACCCUCAUCAUAACUGAAGUAGGACUGUAGCAGCUCCUUUUAUCUUAAAGAAAUUGGACAGCAUAUGAAGAGUGGGCAUCACGUGUGAACGCAUGAUGUGAAGAGCCUGGUUACAGUUUCUACUCUUGUCUGCAGAUGAAUAAGCCCAGAGAGAUGUAAGAGACUCUUUGAAUGGACAUAAACAUUCUGCUUGUUAAGAACAAGUUUGGCUUUGGUAACUGACGUUUAUAGCUAAAAGAUAAAGCCAUUUGGGAAUUAGGAAAAGAUGUUUUGUGGUCAUAGUACACCCUUUUUGCCUGUGAUAAUCAGCCUUCAUGAAUGUUGAUAUAAUUGUAAAUGAUGUCAAACUCCAUUUUCUAGCAAGUGUUAAUUACAAGGGAAUUAUAUCUGCAAUGGCACUGUCUUGUGAGUCAUUUCUGUGUACUUUUUUACUUUCGUCUGGAGUAUAUUUGUUGAAGAGUUCCCUUCAAUUUGUUAUGUUUUGUGGAAGCCAGCACACAAUGCCAUCAUUUAAGCACAAGACCAUUCGUCUAUAUUUUAAUACGUGUACCAGCCAAGACAAUAGGGCUUUUAUUUGGCUUAACCCAUGUUUUGCAGCAAACUGACAGUCACUGGUGAGGCUAUUAUAAUGUGACUGUUACUGAGUCCUUCUUGUUAGGGACUGGAGAAUUUACUAAUCCUGAUAAAAUGCCAUGGUUUUAUGCUUAAGCAGUCUUUGCGAAAGGCAGUGUUACUGCAGGAUGCCAAGAAUAUGUAAUGCCACCAAAGGGGAAAAUGUUAUAGUUAAGUCAGAUGCUUCUUGAAGUUUGUUGGGAGAAGGGGAUGGUGCUUAACCUUCUUCCCAGAUGCAACUACAUUCAUCUCCUUUUAUCUAAUUCUGUUGGGUUUACGUUUUUGUCUCUCAGUAACAUGAGCAUGUUGUUAUGUUAUGGUUUUUCUGUUGUAGACAUUAUCUCCUGACUUUUGUAUGUAAGGAUUUGUGUCUUUCCUCUCCUUGACUCCAUCUCUCACACAUCUCAUUUCUUUUUUUCUUCCAGUUAAUAUUAGUGUGAUUUUGAUUAGAUUGAUUUCAUUAGGGCUCCAAAUGCUGUUCGUUGUUUUCUUUUUCCUUUUUUUAUUUUCCUAGUUAGAGUUUUCUGUGCACUUAACACACUAGGUCAGCUAAACUUUUUGCCGUAUGUCUAAAUUGCUUAUGGCGUUUAGUAUCAGGAGGUACACUUGUUUUGUCUUCCUGAGUAAGCCUUUCCUGAUGCUUUCGGACCUGUCCCAGUCUGGACUGAUAGUCUUUUGUGCCUGAUGCCUGGCUUUAUUCUGGGAUCUCCCUUCACCACCAUCCUGGGAAUGCCUUUUCCCUCUUCUCUCAUGCUGAAGCUCUUGUUUUCUAUAUCUCGUGGCCAGCAUGUGUCACUGAAUCUCUGUGUUGAGUACAGUACCCCUGCCUAUAACUGUCCAGUAUCUCACAACCUAGAGAACCCUCUAAUUUACCCUUGUCAGAAAUAAAAUUCUAAUUUGGGGAGGGAGGUGGGGAAGAGAGGCUGCUUAGCUCUGGAGAGUUGCAUAGAGCAUCUAACUACUUAAACCUACAACCAAUUUCAUUUUCUUUUUACAGCUGUACCUGUGGCAUAUGGAAGUUCCCAGAGUAGGGGUUGAAUUUGAGCUGCAGCUGCCAGCCUCUGCCACAGCCACAGCAAUGUGGGAGCCAAGUUGCAUCUGCAGCCUACACUGCAGCUUGUGGCAACACCAGAACCGUAACUCACUGAGCAAGGCCAGGGGUCAAAUCUGCAUCCUCAUGGAUACUAGUUGGGUUCUUAAUUGGCUGAGCCAUAAUGGGAACCCCCAACCAAAUUUUUUUUUUUUUUUNUUCAUGGUCUACUUUUAAAAGGUACACGACGUCACUGGUUCCCAAAUGUUUUAGGGAUUCUAUGAUGUAAAUUGAGUUGUUUUGCUUUUCCUUCUGCUGACUCCAAAUUUGGUUUUCUUGGGUCUAUCAUUUAUUUACUGUUUGUCCACCUGCUUUCCAACUUCUGACUUUGUUGCUAUUGUCUCCUUUCCUUUUCUAUCCUUUUAGGUUUAUACUUAAUCUUUAAACAAACAUCUUAAAACAAAAAUCUUUGAUGUUGUUUAAUGGAAUCUCAGGAGGCAGAGGAAUUAGAAGCUGGUUCUCAAUCCACCAUCUUUGCCCAGAGAGCAUGUAUUUUACCCAUGUGUCGGGAGACAUGUUUCUACAAUCUUUUCUUAGCCUCUUUGCUUCUAUUUUCUAUGCUGAAAACUCCAUCUUGUCCUGCUUUACUUUACCCCAUAUUCCUGCUUGAAAAACAGUUGCAGUGGUGGUAAAUGACUUAAGAACCAAGACCUAAAGGCAUAAGUUAUUCAUAUGGUCACCUGAAUGAGGACAUAAUGCGUUGGUCUAGGCAUGCUCGACCUGUGCAGAUUGGCAGCUGCUUGCACAGCGUAUGUCCUGUUAAAAUAAGAGAAAGAGGAACCUCACGGCCCCAGGCGGUUUAUGAGUGGUCGUUAGCAGAAUGUGCAUCAGCAAGGAGACCGAGGUGCAAACCUAGGCCCACCAGGUUGCCGGGUGCCAUUUGCGGAAGCACAAUAAUGAAUCUCUAGAUGCUAUGCAUUGACAGCUAACACCAAGCUUCCCCAAACACUAAUGAUUGUUAAAUGCCUAAAGGUCAGAAUAAAAGCUUAACCAUCUACAAGCUAUGUGGCUUUUAAAAUGAUAAAAGAACUUUUAAAAAUAAUUAAAAAAAAAAACUAUAUCCUGCAUCUACAACCCCCUCCACACUUGAUGUAAUCCUAAAGAGCACAAUAAAAGCAGUGUGGUUUCUUGAGGCAGUGCUCUUGGUCCCUGAGACCUUGAGUCCCCCAGUUCCCACCUUU